CGCGUAGGCGGUCUGAUAAGUCAGUUGUGAAAGCCCGGGGCUCAACCCCGGAAGUGCAAUUGAAACUGUCAGGCUUGAGUAUGGUAGAGGGAAGUGGAAUUCCUGGUGUAGCGGUGAAAUGCGUAGAUAUCAGGAGGAACACCGGUGGCGAAGGCGACUUCCUGGACCAAUACUGACGCUGAGGCGCGAAGGUGUGGGUAGCAAACAGGAUUAGAUACCCUGGUAGUCC
rnacentral:rRNA from 1 species